rnacentral:rRNA from 1 species
UUAAAUUGAAGAGUUUGAUCAUGGCUCAGAUUGAACGCUUGGCGGCAGGCCUAACACAUGCAAGUCGAACGGUAACAGAAAGCAGCUUGCUGCUUUGCUGACGAGUGGCGGACGGGUGAGUAAUGUCUGGGAAACUGCCCGAUGGAGGGGGAUAACUACUGGAAACG